UAUAUUUUUACUCAUAACUUGAUUCACGUAUUAUGCAAAUAAAACGUGUAGUUGAUAACCCUACUUAAUCAAUAGGAUAUCUUUUGUUUAAUUACAAAGUACAUUAGUUCUGCAAAAAAAAAACAAAAGGGAUUAUCAUCAUGUUAAGGAAUUAUAUAAUUUCAUAGAUGAUUGUGCGUGGUUAUUUAACUACAUUAAUCAAGCGAUAUAUUUGGAUUCAAUAUCAUUCGUAUAUUAAAAUGACUUCUUUGCUGGUUCCUUCGGAAUCAGUACAAGGAAUGACAUGUUUGGAUCGCACUGCAUUCACAACUACUGUUGAAUUACCAUUUUUAAAAGUUCAUGGUAUAAAAUUAUCAAAUAUAAUACCUAUAGUAAAAAAAUAUUUGUUUAAAAUAAAAAAUUUUAAAUCAAUUCAAAGUAUGGAUAAUGAAACUAUUAUAUAUUUGAAUCCACUGUUAAUACAAUGUUUUGAAGAUUUUGUAGAAGAUGAAAAAAAGCAAUUACUAAAAAUGUACAAUCAAUUUGGAAUGACAAAAAUAAUUUUGAAAUAUGAUAACUGGCAAUCUUAUGAUAUAUUAAGAGCUAUUUUACCUAAGGAAAUUGAAGUUCCAACCUCAUAUAGCAUAAUUGGUCAUAUUGUGCAUUUAAAUCUACGUGAUAUACAUUUACCAUAUAAAACUAUUAUUGGUCAAGUUUAUCUUGAUACAAUUCCAAAUGUUCGAACAGUUUUGAACAAAAUAAAUAUUAUUCAUACAACUUUUAGAAAUUUUACUUUAGAAAUCCUUGCAGGUGAUAAAAAUACCAUUGCAACAGCAAAAGAAAAUGGUUAUAUAUAUGAGUUAGAUUUUUCUCAAGUUUAUUGGAAUCCUCGUUUAAGUACAGAACACAAAAAUUUAAUAACAUUUAUGAAACCUAAUGAUGUUUUAUAUGAUGUAUUUGCUGGAGUUGGACCAUUUGCUAUUCCUGCUGCUUGUAAAGGAAUUAAAGUAUUUGCAAAUGAUUUAAAUCCUGAAUCUUAUAAAUGGUUACAAAAAAAUAUCAUUACUAAUAAAGUUAAAACAAAUAUUCAAUCUUUUAAUAUGGAUGGUAGAGAUUUUUUAAAAACUAUUUUUAAAACUGAUAUUUUAAAUAGGAGAGCUACUAAUCAAAGUGGUAUAGAACAUAUAAUAAUGAAUUUGCCAGCACUUGCAAUUGAAUUUUUAGAUGUAUUUUUUGAUUCUUUUAAUGAAAAUGAAAUUAAACAAAUUUGUUAUCAACCACCAAUUAUUCAUUUAUACUGUUUUGUAAAAACAAAUAAAGGAGAAAAUGCUUGUAAAUUGGGACAAUUAUUAAUAGAACAAAAGCUUGGCUGUAAAUUAACAUCUAAUUCCUUAAUUGAUUUACAUUUUGUCAGAAAUAUUUCUUUAAAUAAAAAAAUGAUUCGUAUAUCAUUUUUAUUGACUAAAAAUAUAUUAAUGGGCGAGGAGCCAGCAAUGAAGAAAUUAAAAAUGGAAAAUAAUUUUAAUAUAUAUGUAAGUAAUAAUAUUACAGAAAAUAAUGGGAAAAAACAAGAAAUUACAAAAGAAACAAAUAAACAAAAAUGUGUUUAAAAUAGCAACAGUUCGUAGUGUUAAACUAAAGGCAAAAGCGCAAAAAGUGAUGAAUAAUUUAAAAAAAUUGGACUUGAAAAAAAAUAAAACAACUAAGAGAAAUAUAGAUAAAACAGUGCAAAUUGAUCAACAGUUUCAAGAAUUACGAAGAGAAGUAAAUAAAUCUAAAUCAAAAAUAAAAACUAAUGCAAAACAA